rnacentral:ncRNA from 2 species
GGCAAUUCCUGGGGGAGCCCUGCAAGGGCUGAGAUUCCGCGCUAUCGCGGUAACCCUUUGAACCUGAUCCGGGUAAUGCCGGCGAAGGGAAGGACAUCGCGCAGUCC